GCCAGUCUAGUAUUAGCAGCCUACAGUAUAGAUGUCAGUGAUCAGGCCCCGGUGUAUCGUUCUAGCAACUCCAGUUCUCGGUUUUAGUGUAGCGCUUAGUGUGCACAUACCGAUUGUCAUACUGUAGUGUUCAUAUUUUUGUGUGAUAACGUCCAAUUAAAAAGACAAAUAUGUCUCUCGUAGAUAUUUUACCGAACGAAAUAUUCCUAAUAAUUUUUUAUUUAUGUAAUGUAUAUACUUUAUUACAGCUCAACAGUGUAUGCAAAAAAUUUCAUGAUCUAUCAAACAAUAUCUUAAAUAAAAAGAGUAACUAUUUGCUUCUUACGAAUGAAGUGUCGAAAAAAUUUCGUGAACGAUGUAAACCACUAUUGUCUUCGUAUAAUUCUAAAUUUAUUACGUAUUACAACUGAAAAAAGAGAAUAGCUCAUAGACAAGUCAUGUCUAAGAGUGAUUUAGUUAGAGGUCACAUAGAUACUACGGGAUACAUAAUAAUGAAGGAAAGAAGCCUAAAAAUGACUGAAAAUACAAUUUGGUGUUAUGUAGAAAAUAUUCUUUCAGCUUUUUAUCGUGCAAAGGACGGUGACAUUACGGCAAACAUUAUUGGAUCUUGUAACUGUCAAUUUUCAAGCAUUGCUUAUUGCAAUAAUACAAUUAUAAGCGGCCACGUAGAUGGCAGUAUUAGGCGUUGAAGAAUUAAAUCACAGAAUAACAUUCAACAAUUAAAAGCACAUUCCCAUGUAUAUGGUGAAUAUGUUUCGAACAUAGAAGCAACAACGCAACAUAUUAUAUCAAGUUCUUCAAAUUUAAUAAAGAUACAAAAAAAUACACUUGAAGAUGAUGAUUUUGCGGAAGAAAACAAAGCAAUUUAUAGCGGCAAGAAAUUGAUUCGGUCAAUUUCAUUAGACCCUACAGGAACAAAAGUUGCUGCUAGUGCCGAAAAAUCGUUUCUAAUUUAUAAUAUUACUACAAAUUGUAAGGAAAUGGAUAAAUGUAUAAAUCAUAAUACUUGUUCCCAACUACUAUGGCAAGAUCUUCACACUAUUCUCAUGCUGUAUAAACAACAGACUAAAAAAAUGGAUAUAAGAACAUCCAUAUUGGUACGUACAUGGAAUGCUGCAUUUCUAAACAAAAAUCGUGGAUUUUGUUGUUUCUCUUCAGAUAAUUUGUAUAGUAUUAUGACAGGGAUAAAUAAUCGUAUGGUAAUUCUAUGGGAUCAAAGAUUAAAUGAUUUCAUUCAAAAUUAUAGUAUACAUAUUAAUACAGAUACUUUAUACAACCCUGUACUUUCUGUGGAAUUUGAUAGCACCCAUAUGUAUGCUAUUUCACAACUAGAAGGUUUGUUCGAAUAUAAUUUUAAAAGAGGAAUCUAUUAUACCCGCGCUGAAAG